UAACGCGAAGAACCUUACCAAGGCUUGACAUACACGAGAACGGGCCAGAAAUGGUCAACUCUUUGGACACUCGUGAAACAGGUGGUGCAUGGUUGUCGUCAGCUCGUGUCGUGAGAUGUUGGGUUAAGUCCCGCAACGAGCGCAACCCUCGUUCUAUGUUGCUAGCGCGUUAUGGCGGGGACUCAUAGGAGACUGCCGGGGUCAACUCGGAGGAAGGUGGGGAUGACGUCAAAUCAUCAUGCCCCUUAUGUCUUGGGCUUCACGCAUGCUACAAUGGCCGGUACAAAAGGGCUGCAAUACCGUAAGGUGGAGCGAAUCCCAAAAAGCCGGUCUCAGUUCGGAUUGAGGUCUGCAACUCGACCUCAUGAAGUCGGAGUCGCUAGUAAUCGCAGAUCAGCA
rnacentral:rRNA from 1 species